GAUGAACGCUGGCGGCGUGCUUAACACAUGCAAGUCGAACGAGAAAUGUAGACGGAAUCCUUCGGGCGGAAGCCUUCAUUUCGAGUGGCGGAAGGGUGAGUAAAGCGUGGGUAACCUGCCUCAUAAAGGGGGAUAACAGUUGGAAACAACUGAUAAUACCGCAUAAGACCACAGCAUCGCAUGAUGCGGGGGCAACAACUCCGAUGGUAUGAGGUGGACCCGCGAUCGAUUAGCAGGUUGGCGGGGUAACGGCCCACCAAAGCGACGAUCGAUAGCCGGUCUGGGAGGAUGGCCCACCACAUUGCGGGAGGGACACGGCGCGAACUCCUAGGGAAGGCAGCAGUGGGGAAUGUUGCACGAUGGGGGAGAGCCUGAUGCAGCGACGCCGCGUGAGUGAGGUAGUAGUGCGGUAUGUAAAGCUCUAUAAGAAGGGGAGGAAAUGACGGUACCUGAGUAAGAAGCCCCGGCUAACUACGUG
rnacentral:rRNA from 1 species